UACGAAGGGGGCUAGCGUUGCUCGGAAUCACUGGGCGUAAAGGGUGCGUAGGCGGGUCUUUAAGUCAGGGGUGAAAUCCUGGAGCUCAACUCCAGAACUGCCUUUGAUACUGAAGAUCUUGAGUCCGGGAGAGGUGAGUGGAACUCCGAGUGUAGAGGUGAAAUUCGUAGAUAUUCGGAAGAACACCAGUGGCGAAGGCGGCUCACUGGCCCGGUACUGACGCUGAUGUGCGAAAGCGUGGGGAGCAAACAGG
rnacentral:rRNA from 1 species